ensembl:lncRNA
CUCAGCUUCUUUUAUUGCUCUUGAUAAAACAGGACAUGGAGAACAUGGCUGACUGCUCAAGGUCGCCUCAAUGCACUUUAUAUUGUACAGUAGAUCGCACAAUAAUACAUACAGAGACAAACCCAACAAUCAUAUGACCCCCUAUGAGCAAGCACUUUGGCAACAGUGGGAAGGAAAAACUCCCUUUUAACAGGAAGAAACCUCCGGCAGAACCAGGCUCAGGGAGGGGCGGGGCCAUCUGCUGCAACUGGUUGGCAGUGGGGACACAAGCACGCUGUGGGAGAGAGCCAGUGGUUGUUGUAAACAAACUUAUAGCAGCAUCUGUACAUCAUGUUUUUAUAUCCAUAGCAGAAAUCAAAGAACCACAUGAAACAGAAGUAAGAUGAAGCAAACAGGUGUGGAUGUCACUACAAAGGUGUAGGCCCCAGAGUUGGAGCUGCUAACAACUGUGGCUGUGGGAGGGGUUAUUAAAUUAUAUCUACCAGUGAGGGGCAGAUAUAACCCACAAAUUCUAUCCAAUCAGAGCUCCCCCACCGUCUGGCAGCAUGAAGCUGAACAGCGAACAGGUCACGUUGGUGUAGAGAACCGACUUCGUGUUCAUGAAUGUGACCGCAGCUCUGAGGUCCUCCUGAGCUCUUCGUACUGAAACUCUGAGUCAUGUUUUUACUUUUGUUUUCACAUUUGGGGAAUCCCAGGGCAGUUUUUACUUUCAUUUGGUGACUGUCCAGGCUGCACAGGGUCAGAGCAGAUGUUUUUGGAGCAGGAAGCACCUGAAGGACAACGCUAAAGACAGUCAAACUUCUGAGGAGAUGGAGAGAGACGAGGAACUGGAAAGAUUGUUUCAGAGGUUAGCUGUAUUUACACCCUGCAGAGCAGACAGACUGAGGAGCUGUGAUGAAAGGGAAAGAUUGACAAAGCUGGCAAUGAGAAGCUGCACAGAUGAAGUCACCCUGCAGUGGCUGAGAAAAAACUCUGAUGCCUUCACAGACAUGUUUGACUUUCUGAAGAAACACAUUGAUGAGGAGGAGAAGAAGAACCACAGUGAUAAUGUUCACAUCAGCUUCGUGGCUCAUGGAGCAAUCAAAGACUUCAUGAUCGCAGCCAGCUGUUACCUGCCUCUGCCCACCAUCACUGACGUGCUCCUGUAUUCUCCCUGGAACUGCAUCACUUCUGGUUUAGUGUACGGUGUCGCUACAGGAAAACUGAGGCCUCAGCACAGAGUUUUUUACUGUAGGAAAGAAAAAGGCUGUAUUAUUCCUGAUGACAAACAUCGACCUGUGAACCUGCCAGACCACUGGAACUCACUGAAGAAAGCUGGAGCACAGAUGGUCCCAAACAUCACGGUUAGCCCUCUUCGAGAUGAUGAUGGAGUGUGGGAACACUUUGAGUCUCUCUCAGCUAAACACGGCCCACCAGGAAGGAACCGCAUCGUCAUCCCGUACAACCUCCCAGGACGGGAAUAUGAAAGCAUCCCGUUCUCUGUGGUGACCUUGGCUCUGUCCCUGGUGCUCCUCUCCUCCAGGUUUAAAGGGACUCUUCACUUCUCUGGUUGUCUCGGUGAUCACUCUACUGGACAGAAAUUUGACAGGAAGUAUCUUCAGGAGCAGUACGCCUGCACCAUCGACAACAGCAUGAUGACACAUUCACCUGAAGCUUUCAGGGAGACAGAUGAUGAUAAAUGCCGCUUGUGUUAGACAUGUUUGUGGACGUGUUAGUGUAAAGAUGAUGAUCAAGUUAUUUUUCUAUAUUUGAGGCUCAGAUUCAUGAUGAAUGGACUUGAAUCAUCAUUUAGAAAUGUUCCAGCACCAGGUUUAAACUGAUUUCUUUAUUCAGUGUAUCAGAAGCACGUUUGGGUUUAAAGUGGUUCAGACACACCUGUUCAUAAUCUGCUAACCUCUGUGGAGGUUAUUAAUAUAAACAGACUCACCUGUUCUCUGCUUGCUGCUCAGGUGACGUGAUACUGAUGUCAAACCAUCAGCCAGCACACUCAGAUCAUUGACAUGAAGUAUAUAGAUUAUUUAUGUACAUUAUGUAUUAUUUUGAUCUUUUAUUGCUUCAUGUCAGGGUUUUAGGUCCAUGUAGAACAAUAAGUUAUGAGCCACAGCUUUCUAACUCAGACUGAACUGUGUCUGUCACGUACUAAACAUAAAAGUAACACAAGUCUACAAGUUGUACGUCGAUAUUUUCAUGCCUACAGACUCAUACAGAUUAUUUCUGAUCUUUUGUUAUUGUAAAACAUUAAAAUGUGAAGAUGAUGUCGUCUAAAUGAAGAAGAACAGGAUGAAAACUUGAAGCUGCUCAUUAAAAACAAUAUCGUUUAUAUAAAAUGUGCCUUGAUCACUGGAAGAACAUGUUGAUGGCAGAUACAUGCAGCUCCACAUGUGGCGGCUUUAAGAAAUCCCAGCAGUGUUUGAAACAAAGACUCCACAGAACAAACCCACAAAAUAAGAGGUACAUGUCAGGAGCAGUUUGGGCUUCAGUAUCUUUCUCAACAACAUCUCCACUUGAGGAGUUAUAGAGGACUGCAAACCCUACUGACGGCCCAGCCUCAGCCUCGCCUUAUGAAUUUAAUAUUCAAAUGUGAAGAUGUGGUUACUAUCAGUAAAGAAGCAUUAUGUAAGAACACAUCAUCAAAUGAAAACCGUUCAGUAAAUCGGGUGACUUACAGGAAUCGGGAUCUGUUCCAUGGUCCAAACAGACAUGUGACAUGAAUGUGAUAAACUCACACAGCUGCUGUUGCUGAAGGCCGAGGCUUUCCUGUAAAUGGUUUGGAAAUCACCACCGUGCUUCUGGCAGUGCAUGCUGUAGUUUCUCUUUCACUUGGUGACGCUCCAGGUUUUUCCCUCGUGCUACGUCAGACUGAGCCGGCCAAUCAGAUGAAGGAUGCUGCCACAACAGCUGAAAAAGUUCAUAAAGAUCCUCCAAAGCAAGUAUGAUGAGGUCUUCUGUUUAGUGGCCUCUCUGACUUUUUCUGCAUGCUCUAAAUUGUGAUGAUGCUGAUGAUGUCAUCAUUACGAUGUAAUGGCCCUUUUCCACCUACCUGGAACGACGGCACGGUUUUCAGGGUUUUCCAUUUGGCCAAAAUGCGUGGUACCAGGUACUGUUUUAGUACCUUCUCGGCCAGGGUUCCAAGCGAUCUGAGCAGGUACUAAAAUGUGACGUUGUCCUACUGCAUGACAACAGUUGGCUGGUCAGUAGUGUCACUCGAUGAGUCAUGAGAGCGUCUCAUUCACAUAAAUUAAAACUACCAUUUUUGAAAUGAGGCAAUGAGGAAAAUGGCUACAAAAAACAACACGUGUUCCCCAAGUCUGACAAAAAGCAGCAGGUAUAUGUUCGCUUUCUUAUAGCAUUUGCAUUGCAUAAUAAUUACGUUGUGAGAUGCACAGACACGUUGUUAUGACAACAAGCAUGCACACUGGGUUAUAAUGGAAAACUAAUCGUGGCAAGUUGAGUCGUGGCCAGUAGUAGGUACUAACUCCAAGUAGGUACUAAAUAGAAAAGGGGCUUAAGUCAGUGAGCUCAUUCCUGAAUGAUGGCCUCAUGAGUGGACUGAGCACUGCUCUCAACAGGUUUUUGAUGGGUAGAUGUCAACUUGACGCACCACAGAAGAGCGAAGAUUUAUAGAAUCAUGUUUUGAUUUCUUUCCUAAAUUAAUUUUUCAUCAUUUUCCCUUUGUUUUAACCCUUUAAGACCUACCAUAGAACCAAGUCCGCCAGACCUUAUCUUUAUAUUUUUACAUGCUGUGGAGCCAUUUUUGGGAGCAUUUCAAGUUGCUAUACAUCAAUACAACUGUUAUUGCCCAAAUU